UCGUAAUAAACGCAGAUAUCACGUUCAUCCUGGUUUUGGUUUUUGUGUCUCAUACUAGUUUUAGAUCUACAAACAAAAUACAACAUAAAACAAAGGCAACCUCAGUAAACACAGAGUCCAGUUUUUAACUCCUAUCACCAGUGUGAAACACUAAUCACCCCCUUUAGCAGCAAUAACUGCAGCUGAACGCUUGUGAUAACCGGAGAUAAGUCAUUCACAGCGCUGUGGUGGAUUUUGACCCACUUAUCUGAACUGGCCAUUCAAGAUCAUUGGUUCAUUGAUUGAGUUCUUGAUGAUAAAUGGUGUGUUUGUUCUGCAGGAGUUUCCGGUCUCAAUGGAAAGAGUCCAGAGCUCACAGCCGGAUCCACAGAUGGCUUCUGGAGCUUUGAUUCAUGUGCCACGUUACUUGGGCAACCUGCCGUUCAGAGUCUGGAAGAAGAUGCAGGACAUCAUCCAAAACAGUGAGGAGCCUCCGCUGCAGCUCACCUGACACCUGAUCGAAGCUCCGCCCCUCCAGACUCAGACACACGUACUUACACGCAUCGUAGCGCCGCACCUCGUAACUCACACCAUCCUGAGUGACAGACGGACAGAUGGAGAGAGACAGACA